CAGCAGUCGCCGCGGGAAUACGUAGGUGGCAAGCGUUGUCCGGAAUGAUUGGGCGUAAAGGGCGCGCAGGCGGCUGUGUAAGUCUGUCUAGAAAGUGCGGGGCUAAACCCCGUGAGAGGAUGGAAACUGGACAGCUGAGAGUGUCGGAGAGGAAAGCGGAAUUCCUAGUGUAGCGGUGAAAUGCGUAGAUAUUAGGAGGAACACCGGUGGCGAAAGCGGCUUUCUGGACGACAACUGACGCUGAGGCGCGAAAGCCAGGGGAGCAAACGGGAUUAGAUACCCCUGUAGUCCCUGUCUCUUAUAC
rnacentral:rRNA from 1 species